GCACUAUCUGAAUGUGUCAGGGUGAGAACAUUAUGUUUCCUCAGCUCUCACUCAUCCUCUGGUGGAGAGGACUCUUUGGUCUUCAGUCUUCCAAUAACUGUCUAUAGAAUAUUUUUGCAUGCUAUUCAUCUAUACCUGAAUGCAAGCAUGCUUUCAGUACAGAAGAAAUGUCAUAUAGGUCAGAAUAAUGUUUCAAUGGGCUCAGGGUUUUUGUCCCCGGUUGUCCUAUCAACCCAUUUUGUACUAUCUACUGGUAGUGGUUCCAAAUUCUGAUCUCCGAACUGGUGAUGAUAUGGAAAUAAUUUUUUCAUUAUUAUUAAUCUGUCAUGAAAUUUUAGAAAUAAGAAUAAUGUGGGAGAACAGGUCUAAAUUUCAUUUGGUAAAAAAGGAACUCUUUUUUCUUUUUUUUUGAGACAGGGUCUCACUCUGUUGCCCAGACUGGAGUGCAGUGACACAAUCAUGGCUCACUGCAGCCUCAACUUCCUGGGCUCAGGUGAUCCUCCCACUCCAGUCUCUCAGGUGGCUAGGACUGUAGGCAUGGGCCACCAUGCCUGGCUAAUUUUAUUUUAUUUUAUUUUAUUUUAUUUUAUUUAGUAUUUUUUUGUAGAGAUGGUGUUUUGCCAUGUUGCCCAGGCUGGUCUCAAGUUCCUGGGCUCAAGCAAUCUGCCCACUUCCCUUGGCC
rnacentral:lncRNA from 10 species